GUGCCAGCCGCCGCGGUAAUACCGGCAGCCCGAGUGAUGGCCGCUGUUAUUGGGCCUAGAGCGUCCGUAGCUGGGUCUGAAAGUCCAUCGGGAAAUCCACUCGCUCAACGAGUGGCCGUCCGGUGGAAACUCCACACCUUGGGACCGGAAGGCUCGAAGGGUACGGCCGGGGUAGGAGUGAAAUCCUGUAAUCCCGUCCGGACCACCGAUGGCGAAAGCACUUCGAGAAAACGGAUCCGACAGUGAGGGACGAAAGCUAGGGUCGCGAACCGGAUUAGAUACCCUAGUAGUCC
rnacentral:rRNA from 1 species